rnacentral:rRNA from 1 species
UUUUAAGUAUAUGAGGUGAUUAAUUGGAGGGCAAAUCAAGUGCCAGCAGCCGCGGUAAUACUUGUUCCAAGAGUGUGUAUGAUGAUUGAUGCAGUUAAAAAGUCCGUAGUUUAUUUUUUUAAAUUAGGUGUAUGUUGGAAAAAAUGGCACAA